AUAAUAGUAAGAAAACUGGAAAUGAUGACAAUACCAAUCUUAUUAAUGGCGGAGAUAAUAACUUUCGCACUCACACUACUUUUAACAAAUCGUUUACAACAAAAGAGCUGUUUAACAAAAGUACAAGCAUAGAAAGUACUGAUUUAAAUUUUGUUUUAAAUAAAUCUACAUUAAAUGAAGAUUUACUCUCUUAUUUUGAUAAUGUGAUUAAUAUAAUUUUUAAAAAAACAAAUUAUAUUAAUAGUAAUAUAAAUAAUAUAAAAUAUAUUUUAUCUGUAAAAACAGUUAUAAGUAUAUUUUAUAUAUAUGGUGAUUAUUUAUAUUUUACAUAUUGGUUAAAAUUAAUAGAUUUAUUUGUUGAAAUAAAUUAUAUAUAUAAAUAUAUAUCUUCUAUAGAAAAUAAAACAAUCGAAUUUUUAAACUUUUUACAUCAUAUGAAUAAAAAUGGUGAAAAUUUUAAUUUUGCAUUAAAUAGUAACAGUAAAACUCAAUCAGAUGAAAAUGGGCAUAUAGAACAUGUAAAUUCAAAAAGUGCUGAAUUUUGUUAUUUUAUAGUACGCUUUAUACAAAAAAAUCCUGUUUUAUGUGCAGAAAUUACAAUGAUUUUUACUUCUUUGUCAUACUUUUUUAAAAGAACUAUUUUUUAUAAUACUCCAACAGUUAUUAAUAUAUUAAACUCUAUUCAUUUUAUGAUAUUUAAUCAAUUUUUUAAACAAAAAAAAAAAAAAGAACAUGGACAUGGGCAGAGACAAGAACAGAAACAUAAUAAUGGAUGUUCUUAUAUCCAUGACCAUAUAUCAAAUAAACAUAAUAAAGUAUGGUACAAUAGUGAUUAUAGUACUGGAGAUAAAAAACAUUCAGUUCGUUUUUGCACCAAUGUAAAUAAUAACAAUAAUAACGACUUCAGUAAAAGAAAAAUAAAAAGAAAACAAUCAUUUAUAUCUUAUAUAAUAAUGAGACAUAGUCAAAAGAAACAUGGACAUUUAGAUGCUUCCUGGGGUAAAAAAAAAAGUGAUAAUGAAAGAGAUUAUAAAGGUACAAAUACAAACACAUUCACUAGUACUGAUAGUACUGGUAAAACAGAAAGUCGACCUAGUACAAUGGAAAGAAAACCUUCUUGUGAUAUACGUCAUUUCAAAACCAGUAUAAAAUCAGACUAUGAAGAGUUGUACCAUUCUGUAGAUAAUGGAAAAGGUAAAAAAAAAAAAAAAAAAAAAAAAAAAGAAGAAGAAGAAGAAGAAGAAGAAGAAGAAAAAGAAGAAGAUAAAGAAUAUUCACCAAACAACAAAAGAAACAUAAAUACGAACAUUGUACAUUCGGAAAAGAGUAAUGUGCAACAAUUAAUCACCAACUCACAAAAAAUUGGUAGUACUUAUUACACCUCCAAUUUGAAUAAAAAAAAAACCAUACUUGAAAAGUAUCUACAGUUUAUAAAAAAAAAUAAUGAUAUUUUUCAUAUCUUUUUUUAUUAUUUAUCACAUUUUGAUUCGGUAUACAUUUCGUAUUUUAUUUUUUAUUGUGAAAAAUAUUUUGCAAAUUGGGAGAACGUACGAAAUAAUAUAUUUUGUGAUAUAUAUACGGAUGUAUGUUUUAGUACUUGUACAAAUCAACAAAAUAUUCUACCUACGGACAAAUCUGAACCUGAAACUAUAUGUAAUUAUAACAAAAACUUAAAUGCUGUGAAAGAACAUAAUUAUAUUGUACUAAAAAAAUUGGAAAAGUGUUAUAUUUUUGAAGAUUUUUAUCCACUACAUAUGAUAGAAAUGUUAUGUGUAAUUAAUAUAAAUAGAAUAAAACAUAUAUACAAUAAUUGUUGUAUAGAUCUUUUAUUAUUAUCCUUAUGUAAAAAUACUGAUAUACAACAAAAAAGUAUUAAUACAUUAUUUAACAUAAUAAAAGAAUCAGUUAUUUAUUAUAAAUAUAAUUUCGAAAUUCAGUUUUAUUUAUUUAAACCAUUUUUUUUUUUUAUUUUAAAUCCAUAUGUAUGUUAUCGCUUUAAUUUUCUAAAUGCUCUUUUAAAUUUUAUUCGAAAAAAUGCAUCUUUUUUAAAUAAAACUAUAUGGCUUUU
ensembl:lncRNA